rnacentral:lncRNA from 1 species
GGCGCGUGACACUUCGGUCAUCAAAUUUUAAGUUUUAUUAUAAUUUUUGGCUCGAACUUUUCGAAUUAUUAUAAUCAAGUCCCACAACCCAACUUAAGUGACUAAAUAUUAACGAAUCACCGAUGUAAAAACUUGUGAUAUCUUAAUUUUUAUUGCAUCUUUAAUCACGACACUAUUACAUCACUUCCAUAUCAGCAAACAUAUCGAUACUUUGUUAAUUAAAUUAUAUUGUAGAACUUAAUUAUAACAAUUUUAAAUAUUCAAGCCAGAAUUUAUAAUAAAUUAAAGUUUGAGAACAUAAAAUAUCGCGUCCCUCAUAGUUUGAGAACUAAACGUCCAAUUUAGUCUUAUAAAUAGGGCUUAAAUUAAAUUAGGUCAUGUAAGCGAAAAAUAGGAAAAGCAGUGAACGACACCCUCUAAGGGGCUGUUUGGUUGGACGUAGUUGUAAAAACAGUGUAGUUGAAAAUACAUGCAGUUGCAAAUGCUGCAGUUGUAACUACACCUAGUCUGUUUGGUUUUACACAGUUACAACUACUGCAGUUACAUUUCUUCUGUUUGGUAAUAUAAGGAACUACUGCCUUUGAUUUUUUUCAUCAAUCUAAUGCCUUUGGUAAUUAGAUUGAUCAAUCUAAUGCCAGAUAUAAUAUAAGCUGAUAGUUGUAUUUGUGAAUUUUGUCAUCUUUUCAGAUAGAGUGGUGAAAUUACCUUCACUAAACAUAAAAUAAUUGUAUAAAUUUAUUAAUCAUUUAAAUUUACUNAAACUUAUUAAAUUAACAUACACGAUCACAUUCUAUAAAUUUUUUUUAAAAAAACUAUAUUUAUAUUUUAAAUAAAAUAAAUUUAAAAAAUUUAAUUUUUUGCACAAAACUUGUAUUGUCUAAAAAAUUUUAUUAGUAUGAGUUUAUUUACAAAUAUUUUUAUUUACCUAUAUAUAUUAUUUAUUUAUUUAGAUAUUUAUUUAUUUAUUUAUUUAUUAUUGUUAAUUUGUGGGUGAUCCUAUUCCUCACCAACUGCUGCAAUUGGAACUACGGCCAAUUUGGAUGUAGUUCCAACUGCAGCAUUUGGACCUUCUUGUGUAGUUGGAACUGCAGCAGUUGAACUUAACUACACUAAACCAAACAAAGGAAUUGAGGCUGCACGCAUUUGCAACUGCACUGCAGUUGUAAAUGCGUGCAACCAAACAGCCCCUAAAUGUCGCAAAUCAUUCAACCACUUUAUUUGUUUUUCAACCACAUACCAAAAACUGUCUAGGGAUGGGCUUAUAAAAAUGGCGAAUUGUUUACUUCUUUUAAUUACUAUAAAAUAGUUUAUUGUUUACUCAUAAGCAGUUGAUCUUGUUGGCUUAAAUGAGCCAGUAUUUUGCCCUGUGGCGGGAGACCAUAUUGGGCUGAGUCAUGUUCAAAAUGGCGUGAGACUGGGUGUGCCGAGUCAUGUUCGAAAUGACGUUAGGCUGGUUGGGCCGAGUUACAAUCGAGACCCGUGAGUACUGUAUCUGUACGUUUUAAGUGAAUUGGUUGCGUAUUUCUAACAGCUCGAACUUUUGAGAUUAAUAGUUAGCGCCAACGAUCCGACAGAUCUCACUGUAUACGUGGAAAUAAAAAGUUUCAAAAUU